rnacentral:rRNA from 1 species
AUUGAACGCUGGCGGCAUGCUUUACACAUGCAAGUCGAACGGUAACAGGGUGCUUGCACCGCUGACGAGUGGCGAACGGGUGAGUAAUACAUCGGAAUGUACCCAGUAAUGGGGGAUAACGCUUCGAAAGGAGUGCUAAUACCGCAUACGCCCUGAGGGGGAAAGUGGGGGACCGCAAGGCCUCACGUUAUUGGAGCAGCCGAUGGCUGAUUAGCUAGUUGGUGAGGUAAAGGCUCACCAAGGCGACGAUCAGUAGCGGGUCUUAGAGGACGAUCCGCCACACUGGAACUGAGACACGGUCCAGACUCCUACGGGAGGCAGCAGUGGGGAAUUUUGGACAAUGGGGGCAACCCUGAUCCAGCAAUGCCGCGUGAGUGAAGAAGGCCUUCGGGUUGUAAAGCUCUUUUGUCAGGGAAGAAACGGUUGUGGCUAAUAUCCAUGGCUAAUGACGGUACCUGAAGAAUAAGCACCGGCUAACUACGUGCCAGCCGCCGCGGUAAUAC